CCUACGGGCGGCAGCAGUGAGGAAUAUUGGUCAAUGGACGAGAGUCUGAACCAGCCAAGUAGCGCGAAGGAUGACUGCCCUAUGGGUUGUAAACUUCUUUUAUAUGGGAAUAAAACAAGGUAUGCAUACCCUCUUGUAUGUACCAUAUGAAUAAGGAUCGGCUAACUCCGUGCCAGCAGCCGCGGUAAUACGGAGGAUCCGAGCGUUAUCCGGAUUUAUUGGGUUUAAAGGGAGCGUAGGUGGAUUGUUAAGUCAGUUGUGAAAGUUUGCGGCUCAACCGUAAAAUUGCAGUUGAAACUGGCAGUCGUGAGUACAGUAGAGGUGGGCGGAAUUCGUGGUGUAGCGGUGAAAUGCUUAGAUAUCACGAAGAACUCCGAUUGCGAAGGCAGCUUACUGGACUGCAACUGACACUGAUGCUCGAAAGUGUGGGUAUCAAACAGGAUUAGAUACCCCAGUAGUC
rnacentral:rRNA from 1 species